rnacentral:rRNA from 1 species
CCUACGGGAGGCAGCAGUGAGGAAUAUUGGUCAAUGGGCGGGAGCCUGAACCAGCCAAGCCGCGUGAGGGAAGAAGGUACAGCGUAUCGUAAACCUCUUUUGUCAGGGAACAAAGGCGGGGACUAGUCCCCGGAUGAGGGUACCUGAAGAAAAAGCCUCGGCAAACUCCGUGCCAGCAGCCGCGGUAAUACGGAGGAUGCGGGCGUUAACCGGAUUUAUUGGGGUUAAGGGGUGCGCAGGCGGCCUGUUAAGUCAGCGGGAAAAGCCCGGGGUUCAACCCCGGCGAGCCGUUGAAACUGGCGGGCGGGAGUUGGAGAGAAGUACGCGGAAUGCGCGGUGUAGCGGUGAAAUGCUUAGAGAUCGCGCAGAACACCGAUUGCGAAGGCAGCGUACCGGCUCCACACUGACGCUGAGGCACGAAAGCGUGGGUAUCGAACAGGAUUAGAUACCCUUGUAGUC